UACGGAGGAUCCGAGCGUUGUCCGGAUUUACUGGGCGUAAAGGGAGCGUAGGCGGACUUUUAAGUGAGAUGUGAAAUACCCGGGCUCAACUUGGGUGCUGCAUUUCAAACUGGAAGUCUAGAGUGCAGGAGAGGAGAAUGGAAUUCCUAGUGUAGCGGUGAAAUGCGUAGAGAUUAGGAAGAACACCAGUGGCGAAGGCGAUUCUCUGGACUGUAACUGACGCUGAGGCUCGAAAGCGUGGGGAGCAAACAGGAUUAGAUACCCCGGUA
rnacentral:rRNA from 1 species